rnacentral:rRNA from 1 species
CCUACGGGUGGCUGCAGUAAGGAAUAUUGGUCAAUGGACGCAAGUCUGAACCAGCCAUGCCGCGUGAAGGAUGAAGGUCCUCCGGAUUGUAAACUUCUUUUAUCUGGGAAGAAAUCCUCGAAUUCUUUCGGGGUUGACGGUACCAGAGGAAUAAGCACCGGCUAACUCCGUGCCAGCAGCCGCGGUAAUACGGAGGGUGCAAGCGUUAUCCGGAUUCACUGGGUUUAAAGGGUGCGUAGGCGGGCAGGUAAGUCAGUGGUGAAAUCCCCGAGCUU